AUUGAACGCUGGCGGCAGGCCUAACACAUGCAAGUCGAGCGAAUGAAGGGAGCUUGCUCCUGGAUUCAGCGACGGACGGGCGGGUAAUGACUAGGAAUCUGCCUGACCUAUGAGAAUGAGAUCCGGUCAGGGACGCUAAGACAACAUACGUCGAGAUGGAGAAAGGCAGGGAUCUUCGGAGCUCAAGCGACCAGAUGAGACUAGGUUGCAUUAGCUAGUUGGUUUGGUAACGGCUUACCAAGGCGACGAUCCGUAGCCGACCUGAGAGGGUGAUCUGUCACACUGGAACUGAGACACGGUCCAGACUCCUACGGGAGGCAGCAGUAGGGAAUCUUCCGCAAUGGGCGAAAGCCUGACGGAGCAACGCCGCGUGAGUGAUGAAGGUCUUCGGAUCGUAAAACUCUGUUAGUUGGGAAGAACAUAUGUGUAAGUAACUGUGCACAUCUUGACGGUACCUAAUCAGAAAGCCACGGCUAACUACGUG
rnacentral:rRNA from 1 species